UUUGGCUGCGGUAGAGUUAAUUUUCUUCAUAGUUACUAGUAUGUGCCUAUGUUUUGGAUCUGUGCUGAACACAGCAUUGAUUACAUUAAUAGAGAUGUUUUUGUUAUUGCUGAGCAUGGCUUACACAGAGCCAAGGCCUUUUCUGCUUUCCGUACUGCCACGCUGGCAAGGAAGUUGAGGGUGCCUGGGAAGCUGGGAGGAGACACAGCUGGGACAGGUGACCCAAACUGACCAAAGGGAUAUUCCAGACCGUAUGACAUCAUGCUCAGUAUAUAAACUGGGGGGAAGAAGGAGGAAAGGAGGGAUGUUUCGAGUGAUGGUGUUUGUCUUCUCAAGUCACUGUUAUGUGUGACGGGGCCUUGCUCUCCUGGAGAUGGCUGAACACCUGCCAGUCCGUAGGAAGUGGUGAAUUAAUUCCUUGUUUUGUUUUGCUUGUGAUGAAAAAAGACACUGCUACUUCUGACUUUUCCUUGGUGUCCAUGAAAAGCAGUGCCCGAGGCAUCACAUCAGCAGUGAAUCCUUCUCUAUGGCAGUGACACAGAGAGGUCAGUUCUGAUUUAAACCUGCUAUCUCCUAAAGAUUCCUAACAUGAUUCUCAUGCACUGGCCAAAACUGCAGUACUUUGCAAAGCAGAAAAUACAGGAAAACUUCACAUUCACAUGGAGAACUGUAUUCCCAAGAGGAAAGAAGGGAAUCAUGGCAGUGUUUCCCUGAUUACUGGAGUUAGUAUGAUCGUAUUAAAAACCAGCAUUCAGACUGAGAAUAUUUGGAUCAAGAGCAUCUGACCACAUCCCUUUAGCCCUCAUGACACCUUUGUGAGGUGACAAGCUGAAGAUAUUCCUAAGGGAAGCCUCACCUCUGAUAUUCAGCAAGACUGUGAGCAUUCUGAACCCUUGAAAUUAAUAGAAAUGGGCAUCUCUCACAGCAACCCUCAAUCAAGUGAAGGGCUAUUUGCAAAAAUUAGAGGUCUCAUUUUUUUGAAGAGGAAAGGACCACUGACUACUCUGAGCUUUUUCAGUCAUCCACAGAAAUGAGCCUGAGAUGGACCACGGGCGCCUCACCAAGGAUGUCACAGCAACCUGUUCCCAGAGCACUGAGGACAUCAGCACUUCUGAGAAUGAAACCUCUUGUGUUAAGUGGUUUUUUAGUACUUCAUGGGGAAUAUCUCUAAAACAGGGCUUUAUUUUUAAACUGGGGGUUUUCUGUAAGAUUGAUUUUACCUCAAGACAUCACAGUCCCAACAUUCACGUAAGGAUGAAUACAUGCACAAAUCCAGAUGACCCAAACAGAAAAAUCAUGCUUCCCUGGCAUGUGAUAUCGUAGAAGGCAUGUUCAAUUUACAGCAGAGAAAAACAUUUACAGAAUUCUACCUUUUCACAGAGGGAAAGCACAGUCCCAGCUUGGAUUAUUGCAACCUGCUCUUCAUUUCUCAAAUUCUAAAAUACAAAAAGAUGCAUUUAAAAUUGGGUCAAAAAUUCAUCCUUUAACACAAGAAAUAACUAUACUUCAAAAACCAAAUAAUUUAUAACAUUUAGACAUGACCAAAAAAGUAUCCCACUAUUGAAAGUAUUAAAAGUUAAACCAGGAGAGCUUAGUUUCCACUCAAUUUCAGUACAUCACCUCCCCAACACUUUUGCAACAAUUUAUUAUUUGAUGAAAAUUAAGUGGUUUCUGUGAGCGAUUUUGAAUUUUUUUUCCCUUAGGCUUGUUAAUUGGACUAUGGCCCUACAGCAAGUGAAUCUCCCCUUUGUGCACUUUCAGAGCUAGACUUCCCAUUAACGAAAACAAUGCAAAGAUCAAGUACCAUAGAAACCUCCAUAGAAUUUUCAACAUAAUAUGUAAAUCUAGAACUUAAAACUAGCAUUGUAAAGACCUCAAUCUGUUAAAGCUAGCUAUAAACUGGACCCAGCUUGCUGGAUGUUUGUGCCAUAACUGCAUGACCAAGAUUUUAUUCUAUAUUUGGCACUGUAGAAGAAGGAAGGGAGACAGUUAUCCUUGCCUUGCCUUUCUCCCAGAAAAUCCACUCCUGGUAGAAAACAGCCUUCACAGUAGUAGGUGCUACUAUUACUACUCAAAAGAAAAAAAAUCACAAACAACUUGGUCUGGCUUUCAUUUCUGUUUUAAAUUUGUUUUUAUUUCCUUUUAUAUCUAGUCUGGGUAUUAUCUUUUCCCUCUGCCUACUUCAGUGCCUUUUUCUACAUCAUUCAGUCAAGACCAAAUCCUAGCUUAAAAAAAAUACACUUUUCACUGGUUUCAGUUUAACUGAAAGAUUUCAAGUUUGUAAAAGCAGUACUCAACCAUUCAUAUUCUUCAUACAAAUACAUAUAGGCAUAUGAAAAUCACCCUCUGUAUUUUCUUGGAUGUUAUUAUCUGCUAUGGAGAAAAAAAUGCAUUAGAUUAACCAUAAAACUGAAGGUAUAUUUAAAAUUAAAAAUUUGUUACCCCAUUAUCUCCAAGAAUAUCUAAUUUCUUCAUAAGUUCAGAUAUGUUCACAUCCUGAAAAAGAUGUUCAACACUUAUUUUUUUUAAAGUAGGUGAGAAAUAGAUUUUAUAUGUUACACUUUAUGCACUGUUUAUUCACUUCUGCAUGCAAAAAGACUACAAAUAAGCGAAACAUUAGUUUUGUAUCACAAUUACAAAAGUGUUAUUGAUACUUUCAAAGACAAAACAAAAUGUCACUUUUGAUUACAGCAAGCAACCUGAAUGUCUGUGCAUGAGGGCAGAAUGUUCCUGCACCACUCACAUUUAUCAUCCUGCUAAUGUAUGUAGAGGAAUGAUCAAAACUGAUAAACAGGCUUAGAAGAGUGUUUAAAGACAAAAGGUUUAAAAAACAUAUUUUUUUUGUUUGUUUGGAGUGGAGCAUCAACCACAUCAACCUACAGAAGUUAAAAGGACAGAGAGCAUGAACAAAACAAUCGCUAAGAAGGUUCACUGGGUGAUUUGCUGCUUGCUUUGUUAAAAAAAGUAUGUAGUUUCAAAUCAGCCUUACAGUGCCAGAAGGGAAUGUGUGCAGAGAGCUGAACAUGCUCCUCCAAACACCAUCAGGUCAUAACCUUUGUGAGUAGAAAGCUAUGUUUCUCUGCCAGUCAGCUCUCAGAUCCACAAAAAGAACUGAACAACCACUCCUUAUUAAGGCCCAGCCACUGAAAUAAAGAGAAACACUGCU